rnacentral:misc_RNA from 1 species
AAGUCGUAACAAGGUUUCCGUAGGUGAACCUGCGGAAGGAUCAUUACAGAAUUUUAAGAUUGGGGGCUGUGCUGGCUUUUCGGAGCACUGUGCACGCCUCUGGUCGAAAUCUUCUUCUUUUUCAACCACUGUGCACCUUUUGUGGAUCUGUGCAGAAAGCGCGAAUGGAGACGCUGCGCCUAACACGCGCUUGUCUUGUUUAUGUGCGCAUAUAUGCAUGGAUUUCACGUCUUACUACACACCAUUAAACCAACCUAGAAUGUAUCGUUAAGAGUCGGGACUCGCGCCCUUCUCGAAACAAAUUUUAUACAACUUUCGACAACGGAUCUCUUGGCUCUC